GUGGCUACCCAAUCUGCGGUGCCUACCCGAUUUGCGCGCGCAUGCGCAGAGCUUAACUAGUACGACCCUGCACGAUCUGCGUUUUUUUUACUUUGCGACAUGAGUCCCCAUCCGAUUUGUCUCGCGCACGCGCUCUCUGCUUAAUUAAAAUUCAUUUAACGACGCUGCCCGAUUUGUUCUGCGCAUGUCGAAUGUUUUACGACACAUGAGAAAAAAAAGUUACCACAGAACUUCCGCCAUUCGAGUGAGAAGGAGAAAGAAGAACGCUGUAAAGAAUAGGAGCAUAUUGAUUUUUUGUCCUGGCAGAAGAAUAUUUUUCACUUCUUGAAAAAAUGAAGACUUUUCAAUUUUACAACGACUUGAAAGAAUAUCUUUUACGGGAAGAAUUUAGCAACAAUUUAACGGUCAGAGAGCGAAGUGAAAUACGACGUGUGUCCGUGAAUUUUAUGAUUAAAGUCCAUCAUCCAUGCCCUGACUGCUCUACAGGGUGUAUCAGGACAGGAGGCAGAAGACUUAUUUCUUGGUGGCCCAGAAUACAGUAUCAGUGAAGUGGAAGAAUUUAACCGAAAGAUAGGGCAGCAAUUAAAGAAGGAGGGAAUGCUGUGAUAUCUGUUGGAAUAGAAGAUGAUGCUACUGCCCAGUGCUUCCAGAAUCCUUCAUUUGAGUCUUGGGUCUGAAUCUACUGCGUCAUUGCCAAGUAUUCUGGGUGAUGCCCUUUGCCGUGCACCCUGGUCAAGUCUUGUGCAACUGACUGUGGUGCUGAAGAGAGAAGAUUUCUGAAGACCCUCUUGAAAUGGAGCUGCAAUUGGAUUAACACUACAACAGUAUGCUUGCCGAGAAUGUCCACAGGGCCUGGGGAGGCUGUGACCUUGUGACCCUGAGACGUUGUUUUGUCAAUCAUCCUGACCAACUAGACCUUUAUGUGUUCUUCAACAGGGCCAUCUGAUAUAUUUAAGGAGAUGUACUUUUUAAUUGUAUAUAUAUUUUUUCACUUUCAUAAAGUUAUAUUUGUUAAUCAGUUUAGCAGUUUGGGCUUUAUUAGUAUUAAAAUACUAGGGGGCUCUGCCCCCUGCUCGCUUCGCUCGCCAACCCCUGGUGUUGGGAAUGACAAAGAGCGUGAUGUAUGAAUGAGAUAUAGAAUAGUGUGACGGUGUAGAUGAUGCAAAUAGAAAGCAAACAAUAAAGUGUGUGGCACAGUGUAAAGGUUAAUUGGAAAAUUUCUUUGUACACGCCGUUUAAGUGUAAAAGGUAAUUCCAGCUCAGAACUUGUAAGGUCAUUUAAGAUGGUUAUUGUUGUGAUCAGUGUCAAGUUUGUCAGAGCUUAGAAAGAGUUGUGUCUCUCCAGGAAGUAAUGGAAUGACUUGGGUAUUUGUUUUUCACAUUAAUAUUUUUUGGACAUAAUAUAGUGCGUUGUGCUAAAAGGGGCAUUUGGUCUAAUGAGAUUGCUGUUCCAAAUCUGUCUGUAACUAAGUCGUCGCAGAUAAAGGCUUGAGGAAUUGUAAUAAUAUGUGGGUGAAGUCCAUCUGUAUUGGUGAGUGUACCAUCUCCCAGUUGUAAUAAGCAAUUGUUAUGAUCUGGUUCUGGACAUCGUAUCUUUUUUACUAACUGUAUCUUUUGAAAGCAAUGCCAAUUGUCUGCGUAUUUUAAGGUGCACUGAACAAUAGCUGAGCGUAUGGCAUGUGGAAGAAUAGCUAAGCACUGUCUAAAAUCUCCUCCUAAUAAAAGUACCUUUCCUCCAAAUCGAAUAUUAUUAUUCAUAAACGUUUGUAGAAGUUUAUGAAUGGUGUUGAGUAAGUGACUGGAUGCCAUUAUACAUUCAUCAAUAAUUAACAUUUUUGCAAGACGGAUGUCACGUGCAGUGCCACCGUUAAUGUUCAUAGUGGAUCCCGAUUUGUAGGAUCUAAUGCAGUUGAUAAAGAUUUCACUUUCAGGUACAUCGUUAGUUAGAAGCUUCUGUAGAUAUUCAGUAUAUGAAUGUAAAGAAGGCAGUCUAAUUUGACCCUUUUGACAACAACGUCUAAAUGUAUUACUUGUAUUGCCAGUUGUUUCUUCAGGGAAGUGAACUGAAUGACAAUGAUUGCAAAUGACAUUCAUUAAUCCAAAUGAAUUUUCCUGGUGUAUGUUUUGCUUGUGCCGUUUGAGAGGCGCGUUGUUGCAUGUGUAGUAUUUGGGACGUGUUGUUUUGGAGCUGUAAUCGAUUUGCCUGUGCUGUGUGAGAAGCCCGUUGUAGCCUUCCUUGCCGUUAACGUAUGUCUGAGACGGGAGGUGUUUCGUUUUGAAUCCGUGCCUGUUGCGAUGCAGCACUUUGAUUGAUAGUUUGCGUCAUGUGGAUCUAGGAUGUAGAUUUGUGCAUAUUUGCGUCGUUGAUUUGUUUCAGGGUGCACUGUUCCAAUGCGAUGCAGUAUUUGUGCACAUAUGCGAAAGCAGUAUGGGCCAUUGCCUUUUGGUGGCCUGAUAUUUACUCCGGUAGAUGCAAAAGCAAAUGAACUAUUGUAGGAUCUAACGCAGUUCAUAAAGUUUUUACUUUUAGGUGCAUCGUUAGUUAGAAGCUUUAGUUGAGCUUUGCGCUUUUGGAGCCGAGACAUUUUUUCUUUUAGAAAUAUGGCUAAGUAAUAAGGAGUAUUGCACUCACUGUUAAUAUGGAGCCUUUUCUGCGUUUGAACGGUUAAUAGUGCCUUAUUGUAAUGAGAUCCACCUAUGCUGCAUAGUGUGAAUUGUGUUUGGUCCCGUUAUCCGAGCAGUAUCGUUUUGUACCUGUGAUCGUGAAUUCAUGACUUGUUUGUUCUUGAGCGUGAGAAAUAUGGAUAAGUAAUAAGGAGGAUCGCACUCACUGUUAAUAUGGAGCCUUUUCUGCGCUUGAAUGGUUAAUAGUGCCUCAUUGUAAUGAGAUCUACCUAUGCUGCAUAUUGUGAACGUGUUGAGAUGACGUAUGUUUAAUACGGACGGUUCAUUUAGAAAUGGGGCUUUGUGUGUCAUUUGUUAUUUAUGUUACUGUGGUCGUGGGUCUGAAUCGUCGUUUUUGUGUACGUUUCGUGUGCUAUGUCCGUAGUCUGUCCCGUUUCGUGUCCAAUGGGCUUUGUUGCUCGCGGCUUCUUUUUUUUUUUUGUGUGCUUGUGGCUUGUUGAAUCCUCCUCUUUGUGUGCGUCCCGUUUCAUGUGCAAUGGGAUUAAAUCCUCCUCUUUGUGUGUGUCCCGUCCGUUGCUUGUGUGUGUGGGGGGGGGGGGGUUUGCGUGCUCUUUUUUUUUUUGUGUGCCAGGGGCUUGUUGAAUCGUCCUCUUUGUGUGUGUCCUGUCCGUUGCUUGUGUGUGGGUGGGGGGGUGUGUGUUUUGCUCGUGCGGCGCUGUGUGCGUCGCCUGCGUUUGACUCCUUUUUUCUGUGCUCACUCCUUUUUUUCUGUGGUCUUGUCCGCCUCUCGCUCCGCCUCAUUUCUUGGGGCGCCUGCGCAGUACGUCUUUUUGCGGCUACGGCCCAUGGCCGGAUGUCCCUGCGUCCAUCCGGUUUAGCAUUCUCGGUUAGUAAUAUGGAUGUUAGAGAAGUUAUUUGUGGAAUAAUUUUAAUGAUCAAAAUAGCAAAACAAUGUAACUUUAAAUUUUCUGUGCUCUGAGUAAAAUGUGUUAAAGCUAUGUGGUGAUUUUUUACUUUUUUUUUGUACAUUUGACAAAUGGUUUUUUUAGGUGCAUUGUUGUCACAUUGUUCACUUUUGUUGUUCUCAUAACAUUUAUUCAAUAAAAUUUGCAUGAAAAGUGUAUUUCCUUUUUCAUUAUUCAGUUAUUAACUCACAUUUAAGACACUAUAUGGGUGAAUAAAAGCCAUUUAAAUUUGAGUACAAGACGAGCAAUAGUAUCACAGAAGAUGGUGCUGGGGUUGUGCUUUAUGUGGGUUAGACAUGAAAUGAAGAUUUCUUUUUCUUGAAAA